GGCACAUCUAUACAAGUAUUCAGACCCUUUAAGUAACAUUUUAAGUCUAGCUCAGAUGUAUCCCAGCUCUCACUUUUGAGAUGUUUCUACACUUUGAGUAAAGUCCACCUGUGGAUAAUCAAUUCAAUCGGACAUGUUUGGAAAAGCACACACCUUUCUAUACAAGGUCUCACAGCUGUAAAAAACAAGCCAUGAGGUCAAUGGAACUGCCGGCAGAACACAGAGACAGGAUUGUGUUGAGGCACAGAUCAGGGCACGGCUACUCAAAAAAACAUUUGGCUGCAUUGAAGGUUCCCAAGAGCAUGGUGGCCUCCAUAAUUCAUAAAUGGAACAACCAGGACUCUUUCUAGAGCUGACUGCCCAGCCGAACUGAACAAUUGGGCGUGAAGGUCACUCUGGUUGAGCUCCAGAGGUCAUAAAUGGAGAUUGAGGAAACUUCCAGAAGGACAACCAUUACUGCAACACUCCACCAGUCUAGCUUUUAUGACAGAUGCCUCUUCGCACUGAAAAAUGUAUGAAAACCUGCUUGGAGUUUGCAAACAAAAUCACCUAGAAGACUCCCAUUCUGUGGUCCUUUGAAACUGAGGAAAUUUGAUGAGCUUUGGAGUACCUGGACCUUUUUCUUCUCGAAGAGUGAACAUGAGACCUGAACUCUGUGGACCAGAUGAAACCUUUGCUGUGCUUCCUGAUGACAUAAACAAAGUUAAGAAGGACAGAAAAGAGACUGGUACAUCAUGUACCCAGUAAGCAUACCAACCAAGUGUCCUUAUUUAAGAGGGACUGUCCCUUUUGUGGACCCAAUUCCAUCCGUCCCCUUUUCCUAUCCUUUUGUCCUUUUUUCCAGGAGCUUUAUAUUGUUAGUCGGUGAGUGUGUAUAAAAAAAUAAUAGACCCAUUAAUGUGUCUUUAACCUGCAAUAAAC